rnacentral:tRNA from 1 species
GGAUGUAGCUCAGGGGUAGAGCACGUGCUUGGCAUGCAUGAGGUCCUGGGUUCAAUCCUCAGUACCUCCA